UGAAAACGUCAGGGAGAAAGUUCAGGACUUGAAUGUGCUCACAAGAAGCCUUCUGCCAAGGAGGAAGACGUGUAUGAAGAGCUGCUCCUCAGAUCUUGUUCUGGGGAGCAGAUAGACAGAAAACCAGUGAAAAGUCAAGAGGAUGAUUUUUGGAGAGAAGAUGCAUCAUCUGGGUGUGAGGUGUGGCAUCUCUGUACUGCGCAAGGUGUGGAGGUGUGGAGCGAGAGCACGGAGAGGUUUCACAACGAGCGCUGGUUGUAAAACUUCUGCGUCAAGGUUCCUGAAUCAAGCUGCCCAAGUGUCAAUCCUAGUAAUACCUGUAGGAAUAAGACAUGGUUUGAAACCACCAACUCGUGUGCUGGCAUAUUCGCUGGCUGACAUUUUUAAUGAAGAUGUUGUUUUAAGCUCUUCUGGUGUAGGAGUGUACUGUUAUUUCCUCCUUUCACAGUCUGACAGCCUCUGCUAUGUAAAUACUUGUCUAUAAAAUAGGUAUCGUUGUCUCAAAGACUGAGUUGGCACAGAGGAGAAGGAAAAAGAGAGUUUGUGGUGUACU